rnacentral:tRNA from 1 species
AGGCUUGUAGCACAGGUGGUUAGAGCGCACCCCUGAUAAGGGUGAGGUCGGUGGUUCAAGUCCACUCAGGCCUA